UUGAACUCACAACUCUGAGAUCAAGACCUGAGCUGAGAUCAAGACUGAGAGAUUUAACCAACUGAGCCACCCAGGUGCCUCCAUUCAUAAUUUUUCAUAAACACAGGUAUUGGAAUCUAAUAUAUUCAGAAAAGAGAAGAAACUGUAUAACAUAGAUUUUUUUUUUCAACCACAGCCAUAGUAAAGGAAAGAAGGUGAAAAGGAAAAUGUACUAUAAACGUUAUCAGCAGAAAAGUGCAGAAAAGCGUUCAGCUUGAUAUAAUUAAGGAUUUGAGAUGAGGAGAUCAUCCUGGAUUGUCCAAGUGGGCCCUAGAUCCAAUGACAGACGUUCUUAAAGGAAUGAGUCACAGAGGUUAUACAGAAGGGGCCAAGGCCAUGAGAAGAGGCAAAGGCAUCCACAAGCCAACGAAUGCCCAUAGCCACUACUGGCGGCUGGAAGAGGCAAGGAACAGAAUCUCCUCUAGAGCCUCGGGAAGGAGUGUAGCCCUGACAUCUUGACUUCAGACUUCUGAGCUCCAGAGACAACAGAGAGAGAUUUAAUUACUGUUUUAAGCCACUGAGUCUGUGGUAGUUCAUUAUGGCAGCCACGGGAAACCAACAAAGAGCUAUUAAGAAUAAACUGUUGUGCGUUCUCA